GUGAAACUUCCUUACAAUCCGCCUCUAAAACAGAGGUCGUGCUUUUUGCAGUAUAUGAUAAAAGUGGACAAUAAGCCUGUGCACACCUAUGUUGACAAUUGCACCUGUAAGCUAAAAGACGGAAAGAUCAGUUAUUUCCCUGAAAACACCCGGUGCUACGUGCCAGCCGUAGGAUAUGAUAAUGAAUUCGCUAAUAGACCCGGACUGUGCAAGGGUGGCACGUGUGUUCCACAUACCGUACCAUUUGGAUGUGUUGGAAUGGUGCCUCGG